AAGUUAACGUCAAGACUCAAGGUUAUUAACCUUAAGCUUUUCUUCACAAUUGAAAGUGCUUUACAACCCGCAGGCCUUCUUCACACACGCGGCAUUGCUGGAUCAGGCUUUCGCCCAUUGUCCAAUAUUCCCC
rnacentral:rRNA from 1 species